UACGUAGGGGGCAAGCGUUGUCCGGAAUUAUUGGGCGUAAAGGGCGCGUAGGCGGUCCGGUAAGCGCGUGGUGAAAGCUCGGGGCUCAACCCCGAGUCGGCCGUGCGAACUGCGGGACUGGAGCAGAUCAGAGGCAGGCGGAGUUCCGGGUGUAGCGGUGGAAUGCGUAGAGAUCCGGAAGAACACCGGUGGCGAAGGCGGCCUGCUGGGAUCUUGCUGACGCUGAGGCGCGGCAGCGUGGGGAGCAAACAGG
rnacentral:rRNA from 1 species